CUUCAUCUUCUACGCUACACUUCAACCCCUACGUCUUCUCUGCACUGCAAAACUCAGCCAGUUCAUCUUCUCCGCUCUACAAAACUCAACCCCUGCAUAUGAUUUGUUUUUCUAGUUCGCUCGUCGGCUGAUGGUUCAUCAGCCCCUGCAUAUAUUUCACUCGUUGACCACUGGUUCGUGAGAAAAAGAGAAGGAAGGAGGUUGAUCGCUGAAGCAUACCUCCAGCAUUUGGUUCAUCAGAAGUUAAUUCCCAUCCUGCCUUUUUAAAUUGAUCCUAUUUUCAAGCUUUGUCUAUGGACACUUGGCUACAAAGGCAAUUCUGGGAAUUUUUGGGUGUCCAGAGACGUUUUUCGGGUGUGAAUCAAAAGCUAAUCACCCUUAUAUACGUAGGGAUGAAUGCUUUAUUGGGUAUCCACAGAUACACUAUUUAAUGAAUGCUUUAUUGGGUACUAAUAAUUUGGAAUCUGUUAAAUGGUGAAAUGGUUAAGAGUGGUGAUUUGAUGGGGAUGCUGUCCUGAAAUUACCCACAGAGUAUACUUGGAUAUUGAUAUUGAGGGACAGCACUUAGGUACAGCUUCAUGUCAAUACUAUUACAUGAACUACUACAGGCCAAAAGUUAACAAAGAGGAAGCUCACAGCCCAGAUGAUGUUCUAGUGAAAAAGGUGCAAAGAAGAAGGGAUCAAAUUCUGAUUCAGGAAAAGAAGGUGCAAAGAAGAAGGGAUCAAAUUCUGGUGAAAAAGGUUCUAGUGGUAGUCAAAGUAGUGAAGGUGGGCAUGGUAGGCAAGGAGUGAACAUUGAGAAGCAACCAUUGCUGAGGUUCGUAGUGAUGGGAAGGAAAUCCUGUACAAUAAAAAUUAUGUAUUAUUUUUCCUCUAAAAUCUUUUCUAUAUGACCCAAAAUUCUAUGAAGUUUGUAUGAGGUUCUGCAUUAUUAACAUCAUUGUGCAUUCUUCAUCA